rnacentral:rRNA from 1 species
GACGAACGCUGGCGGCGUGCUUAACACAUGCAAGUCGAACGGAAAGGCCCUGCUUUUGUGGGGUGCUCGAGUGGCGAACGGGUGAGUAACACGUGAGUAACCUGCCCUUGACUUUGGGAUAACUUCAGGAAACUGGGGCUAAUACCGGAUAGGAGCUCCUGCUGCAUGGUGGGGGUUGGAAAGUUUCGGCGGUUGGGGAUGGACUCGCGGCUUUCCGCUUGUUGGUGGGGUAGUGGCUUACCAAGGCUUUGACGGGUAGCCGGCCUGAGAGGGUGACCGGGCACAUUGGGACUGAGAUACGGCCCAGACUCCUACGGGAGGCAGCAGUGGGGAAUAUUGCACAAUGGGCGGAAGCCUGAUGCAGCAACGCCGCGUGCGGGAUGACGGCCUUCGGGUUGUAAACCGCUUUCGCCUGUGACGAAGCGUGAGUGACGGUAAUGGGUAAAGAAGCACCGGCUAACUACGUG